rnacentral:rRNA from 1 species
AUUGAACGCUGGCGGCAUGCUUUACACAUGCAAGUCGAACGGUAACAGGCCUUCGGGUGCUGCCGAGUGGCGCACGGGUGUGUAAUGCAUCGGAACGUACCCAGAGUUGGGGGAUAACGCAGCGAAAGCUGUGCUAAUACCGCAUGUGAUCUGAGGAUGAUAGCGGGGGACCGAGCAGCAAUGUUUGGCCUCGCGCCUUUGGAGCGGCCGCUGUCGGAUUAGCUAGUUGGUGGGGUAAAGGCCUACCAAGGCGACGAUCCGUAGCUGGUCUGAGAGGACGAACAGCCACACUGGGACUGAGACACGGCCCAGACUCCUACGGGAGGCAGCAGUGGGGAAUGUUGGACAAUGGGCGCAAGCCUGAUCCAGCAAUGCCGCGUGAGGGAAGAAGGCCUUCGGGUUGUAAAACGCUUUUGGCAGGAACGAAACGGUGUCCGCUAAUACCGGGCGCUAAUGACGGUACCUGCAGAAUGAGCACCGGCUAACUACGUG